rnacentral:lncRNA from 1 species
AUAAAAUGUUAACUGCUUCCUUCCUAUGGUGGUUAAGCAAAGAUGGACUUGUCCGGGAGCGAGGAUCUACUUCUGUUCAUACCAGCUUUCAAGAUACUUCUGUCCACACCAUUCCUCCGUUUUAAGGAAAUCAUCGUGUGACAUUCUCCUUUUGGACAAGGCGAUCCUGGCUGGUCCCUGGAAUGUCCACUUAUGUUUCAUUGAUGGAACUAUAUCACACAGCUGUCCCUAGCUGCACAGAGGGCUGAGAAAGUGAGUAUCUGGCAUUUUCAGUCUCUGCUGGGUUGGGGUAGAAUCUGCCAAUAGAGUAG